CCAUGAACGGCUGUUAGACGUCAAUAUUUCUAGCGCAUGUAAAACAAUUGACGGAAUGUAUCUUCGGUGGUACACGUGGAUUAAUUUGAAUAGUGCGACAUUCAACAUAUUUAAUAACAGAAUUGUGUGAAUGCGUGUACUGGUGUAUUUUUCGAGAUAUUUUAAUGGGAAAAAUCUAUUUUGUGGAAACAUGAUAAGAAGUAAAGAGAAAAAUAGUUGUUACGUAAUAAUGUGGUGAUUAAACGGAUGAAUGGUUAUUAACUUCGAGUCUCGAAGUUCGAGGAAGCUGACAAACGUUCAUUCGAGAAUUACAGCGGUUUACGAGACUAGGAAUGUUCGUAUACGAGUUGCAUACGCGAAUAUAAACUUGACAUUUCAGUGACUGAGAGGGAUAACGAGUAACGAGACAUGUUGGAUUCCAAUAUAAGGCGGACGCUUGGAACGCGCAACUUUAAGAUUCGAGUAUUAUUAGCUUGGAGAAUAUGUGAAAAAGUUACGAAAAUGAAACAUAAAGAGAUGUUGUAAAGAUUAUAUAAAAAAAAAAUGUUUACCUUGUAUGUAUCUACAAUGAAAUGUCAUGUAAUUUUUUAUCUAUUAUUUAUUUUUUAAUUAUCGUGCAAGAUAGUCUUUUAUAAAAAGCAAAAAUGUGUUUAAAAAGUGAUGGAGGCGUUAUUUGGAGUCCAAUUCUUGGUCUCCACUGGUUUUACGGCAACUGGCAACGUAACUUUCCAUACUUUCAUUUUGAUUAUCUAAUCGAAUGGAAAAAUCAAUAGUAGUAAGAUGAAUUCAGAUAUCCUUUUAUCGACUGAUGAUAUUGUAGUGAUAUCGAUUUAAAAAUAUUUUCUAAUUAAAAUUAUGUAAACAAAAAUAUGAAGUAAAAUAAUGAUAUUAAAAAUUUUAAUAUUGCGAACGAAAAGAAAAUUGCAAAUAAAAAAAUUAUAUGAAAAUAUGGAUGCUUUUACAAUCGUAAUAAAUCGAUAACAGGAUUGAUUUUUAAUGCAUAUCCAAAUGAUAAUUAGUUUAUAAAUCUUUUUAAGAGAUUUUGAUGAUAUAUUAAAUUUCUUCCUAUUAAGUAAAUAGUUGGAUUGUUAUUAUAUAACCAUCAUUAUAUGUGAUCUAAAUACACUCGAUUUAAUAAACUCAAUCAAUAAAAUCUUUGGCAUUUAUUAUUGA